rnacentral:rRNA from 1 species
CCCUAUGGGGUGCAGCAGGCGAGAAAACUUUGCAAUGUGCGAAAGCACGACAAGGUUAAUCCGAGUGUUUUCUGCUAAAGAAAUCUUUUGUCAGUCCUAAAAACACUGAUGAAUAAGGGGUGGGCAAGUUCUGGUGUCAGCCGCCGCGGUAAAACCAGCACCUCAAGUGGUCAGGAGGAUUAUUGGGCCUAAAGCAUCCGUAGCCUGCUUUGUAAGUUUUCGGUUAAAUCCAUGUGCUCAACAUAUGGGCUGCCGGGAAUACUGCACAGCUAGGGAGUGGGAGAGGUAGACGGUACUCGGUAGGAAGGGGUAAAAUCCUUUGAUCUAUUGAUGACCACCUGUGGCGAAGGCGGUCUACCAGAACACGUCCGACGGUGAGGGAUGAAAGCUGGGGGAGCAAACCGGAUUAGAUACCCGGGUAGUCCCAGCUGUAAACUAUGCAAACUCAGUGAUGCGUUGGCUUGUAGCCAGUGCAGUGCCGCAGGGAAGCCGUUAAGUUUGCCGCCUGGGAAGUACGUACGCAAGUAUGAAACUUAAAGGAAUUGGCGGGGGAGCACCACAAGGGGUGAAGCCUGCGGUUCAAUUGGAGUCAACGCCAGAGAUCUUACCCGGAGAGACAGCAGAAUGAAGGUCAAGCUGAAGACUUUACCAGACAAGCUGAGAAGUAGUGCAUGGCC